UCAGGUUUUCAAAUAUUACAAUUCUAUUUGACAAAUCAAUCAAAAUUUCCGUACAAAACUACACAAACCAUAUUUCAAAAAUAACACAAAAUUCCGGUAUGAGCAAUAGUAUCAAGGCAGGAUGGUGAGACUGGUGCGAGGUGGAUAGCGUACGAUGGGCUUGGUGCGCGACGCGCUCUUUCUCCUGCUGACCACUCUGCUUGCCGUCUCCUCCUUCGCCGCUGCCUGCACGAGGAAAGUUUACAUCGCCUGCAAGAAACCUGCACCCUGCGGGGAGUAACUAAGUAUGUCGCUGUUUGACCUCAGUCGAUUAGUGAUUCUAUCAUUGACCAUCCUUGCGCUGGUGUUGACCGGAGCUCGCGGCUGCAAAAAGAGCGUGGCCUGCACAGGGCGCCCCCCUUGCCGUCGCGGCCCCUUGGGGAAGUAACGUGACAGAAAAUUUGAAAACAUGGACAAAACUAAACUGAUUUGCAGAGUCUGCCCGACUUAUUUGCUUCGGAAAUAUGAAUAUUAUUAUGCAUUUAUUUCUUAA